GCCGGAAGUUGCAGCCGGGAAGCCUGCGAGGUCGGUUCCGCCCGACUCUAACAUGGCGGCGCCCUUUGUCUGCUCUGGAGUGCUGUCCCCGGCCUUCUCGCGGCCGUGAUGCACCUCCCUCUGCGGUGGGGUCCGGGACAUGGCAGGUAAUGAGCCGGACGAGGGGAGCCAAGCUGGAGUUUACACAGGCAAAGUGUCAGAAAAGAGUAGCCUGGGCUGUCUGGAAAUCUGAGCCAUGGACUUUCCCCAGCACAGCCAGCAUGUCUUGGAACAGCUGAACCAGCAGCGGCAGCUGGGGCUUCUCUGUGACUGCACCUUUGUGGUGGACGGUGUUCACUUUAAGGCUCAUAAAGCAGUGCUGGCGGCCUGCAGCGAGUACUUCAAGAUGCUCUUCGUGGACCAGAAGGACGUGGUGCACCUGGACAUCAGUAACGCGGCAGGCCUGGGGCAGGUGCUGGAGUUUAUGUACACGGCCAAGCUGAGCCUGAGCCCUGAGAACGUGGAUGAUGUGCUGGCCGUGGCCACUUUCCUCCAAAUGCAGGACAUCAUCACGGCCUGCCAUGCCCUCAAGUCACUUGCUGAGCCGGCUACCAGCCCUGGGGGAAAUGCGGAGGCCUUGGCCACAGAAGGAGGGGACAAGAGAGCCAAAGAGGAGAAGGCGGCCACCAGCACGCUGAGCAGGCUGGAGCAGGCGGGACGCAGCACACCCAUAGGCCCCAGCAGGGACCUCAAGGAGGAGCGCGGCGGUCAGGCCCAGAGUGCGGCCAGCGGUGCAGAGCAGACAGAGAAAGCCGAUGCGCCCCGGGAGCCGCCGCCUGUGGAGCUCAAGCCAGACCCCACGAGUGGCAUGGCUGCCGCAGAAGCUGAGGCUGCUUUGUCCGAGAGCUCGGAGCAAGAAAUGGAGGUGGAGCCCGCCCGGAAAGGGGAAGAGGAGCAAGAGGAGCAAGAGGAGGAGGGCGCAGGGCCAGCUGAGGUCAAGGAGGAGGGUUCCCAGCUGGAGAACGGAGAGGCCCCCGAGGAGAACGAGAACGAGGAGUCAGCGGGCACAGACUCGGGGCAGGAGCUCGGCUCCGAGGCCCGGGGCCUGCGCUCAGGCACCUACGGCGACCGCACGGAGUCCAAGGCCUACGGCUCCGUCAUCCACAAGUGCGAGGACUGUGGGAAGGAGUUCACGCACACGGGGAACUUCAAGCGGCACAUCCGCAUCCACACGGGGGAGAAGCCCUUCUCGUGCCGGGAGUGCAGCAAGGCCUUUUCCGACCCGGCCGCGUGCAAGGCCCAUGAGAAGACGCACAGCCCUCUGAAGCCCUACGGCUGCGAGGAGUGCGGGAAGAGCUACCGCCUCAUCAGCCUGCUCAACCUGCACAAGAAGCGGCACUCGGGCGAGGCGCGCUACCGCUGCGAGGACUGCGGCAAGCUCUUCACCACCUCGGGCAACCUCAAGCGCCACCAGCUGGUGCACAGCGGCGAGAAGCCCUACCAGUGCGACUACUGCGGCCGCUCCUUCUCCGACCCCACUUCCAAGAUGCGCCACCUGGAGACCCACGACACGGACAAGGAGCACAAGUGCCCACACUGCGACAAGAAGUUCAACCAGGUAGGGAACCUGAAGGCCCACCUGAAGAUCCACAUCGCUGACGGGCCCCUCAAGUGCCGAGAGUGUGGGAAGCAGUUCACCACCUCAGGGAACCUGAAGCGGCACCUUCGGAUCCACAGCGGGGAGAAGCCCUACGUGUGCAUCCACUGCCAGCGACAGUUUGCAGACCCCGGCGCUCUGCAGCGGCACGUCCGCAUUCACACAGGUGAGAAGCCAUGCCAGUGUGUGAUGUGCGGUAAGGCCUUCACCCAGGCCAGCUCCCUCAUCGCCCACGUGCGCCAGCACACCGGGGAGAAGCCCUACGUCUGCGAGCGCUGCGGCAAGAGAUUCGUCCAGUCCAGCCAGUUGGCCAAUCAUAUUCGCCACCACGACAACAUCCGCCCACACAAGUGCAGCGUGUGCAGCAAGGCCUUCGUGAACGUGGGGGACCUGUCCAAGCACAUCAUCAUUCACACUGAGCUUCCAGAGGUGCCAGUGUCACCAGAGGCACCCAUGCAGCCACCCCAGAGCACCUCCUGCUGUAAAAGACAGGGUUGCUGGGCAAACGAGUCAUUGAGGGCCUCCCACCCCAUCCCUGCGGCCCCUUCCCACAAAGGCAAGAGAGAACCUUGCUCCCCCAGGAGAGAAGCCUUACCUGUGUGAUAAGUGUGGGCGUGGCUUCAACCGGGUAGACAACCUGCGCUCCCACGUGAAGACCGUGCACCAGGGCAAGGCAGGCAUCAAGAUCCUGGAGCCCGAGGAGGGCAGUGAGGUCAGCGUGGUCACUGUGGAUGACAUGGUCACGCUGGCCACCGAGGCACUGGCAGCGACAGCCGUCACUCAGCUCACAGUGGUGCCAGUGGGAGCUGCAGUGACAGCCGAUGAGACGGAAGUCCUGAAGGCCGAGAUCAGCAAAGCUGUGAAGCAAGUGCAGGAAGAAGACCCCAACACUCACAUCCUCUACGCCUGUGACUCCUGUGGGGACAAGUUUCUGGAUGCCAACAGCCUGGCUCAGCACGUGCGAAUCCACACAGCCCAGGCACUGGUCAUGUUCCAGACAGACGCGGACUUCUAUCAGCAGUAUGGGCCAGGUGGCACGUGGCCUGCCGGGCAGGUGCUGCAGGCUGGGGAGCUGGUCUUCCGCCCUCGCGACGGGGCUGAGGGCCAGCCCGCACUGGCAGAGACCUCCCCUACAGCUCCUGAAUGUCCCCCGCCUGCCGAGUGAGCUGGCGGCCCUUCUGACUGUUUAUUUAAGGAUGGAUGGCACCCUGGAACCGGGAAGGGUGGCCUGUUCCCUAGAGAGAAUAAAUUGGAUUAUUUUCUAA